rnacentral:sRNA from 1 species
UGUUUGCGUGAGGGAUAGUAGUGGAAAUCCUUUAACACAACCCUCUUUUUGGGUUGUGUUAAAGAUUGGAACGGAUAGCCCGACGGCGC